rnacentral:sRNA from 1 species
GCGGAGACGCAUGUUUCCGUUCACUCCUCACACCACACUCCGCCCGGACUUCUGUUCGGGCGGUU